AACAACACAUGACAUCUUCAGAGAUUAUUAUUCUGGACAGACCGUCUUGCGGCAAAAGUUAGAAGACGUCAGGAUUGAAGUGCCCGGGGAUGGAGUUGUUCUGCUGAGCCUGCUUCAGAUGCAUCAUAGGAUUGUGGUUGCCACCUCUAGGGUCCUCAGUUGCUCCUGGUACUGCACAACAAGUUGCUUCAAACUCUGAACCUCCUGGCUCCUCUCGUCGAACUCCUUUUGGCGCUCAUGUUGAAUGGCGACCGCUCGCUUGAGGACAGCGUUCUCUCGCAGCACGACGGUC
rnacentral:sRNA from 1 species